UACAGCUCUUCAUCAUUCAGCGCCGCGCGCAGGCGGCGGCAGAUCGUUUUAUCCGCCAGACGUUUCGCCACCAGCG
rnacentral:tRNA from 1 species